rnacentral:rRNA from 1 species
UACGUAGGUGACUAGCGUUGUCCGGAUUUACUGGGCGUAAAGAGCGCGCAGGCGGUCGUUCAAGUCGAGUGUGAAAGCCCCCGGCUCAACUGGGGAGGGUCAUUCGAUACUGUCCAACUUGAAGGCAGGAGAGGGCAGCAGAAUUCCCGGUGUAGUGGUGAAAUGCGUAGAUAUCGGGAGGAAUACCAGUGGCGAAGGCGGCUGCCUGGCCUGUUCUUGACGCUGAGGCGCGAAAGCUGGGGGAGCAAAC